rnacentral:rRNA from 1 species
AGCGAACGUUUGCGGCGGGCCUAACACAUGCAAGUCGAACGCACUAGCAAUAGUGAGUGGCGCACGGGUGCGUAACACGUGGGUAAUCAACCCUUCAGCCUGGGAUAACGACUCGAAAGGGUCGCUAAUACCGGAUACGGCGCGAGAGGCUUCGGCUUCUCACGAGAAAGCCACGCAAGGGGCACUGAAGGACGAGCCUGCGGCCCAUCAGCUAGUUGGUGAGGUAAGAGCUCACCAAGGCUAAGACGGGUAGCUGGUCUGAGAGGAUGAUCAGCCGCACUGGAACUGAGACACGGUCCAGACUCCUACGGGAGGCAGCAGUGGGGAAUAUUGCGCAAUGGGCGAAAGCCUGACGCAGCCACGCCGCGUGAGCGAUGAAGGCCUCGGUCGUAAGACUCUGUGGGAGGAGACGAAGAAAGACCUGUGAAGAGCAGGCCGUUGACGGUAGUCUCC